rnacentral:lncRNA from 1 species
UUGAAUAAAUUCACUUUAUACUCUUGAGGAAACAUAUAACAUAAACUAAAUUUGUCAUAGUUUAUACAUAUUCAUCCAUGAAAUCUGAUUUGGUAGAAACUGGCUAGAGGGUUAUCCCAAACUAUACCCAUUAUAGUUUAUUAGAGUUGAUAUAAAAAAAUGCUUUGUAAAAACCUUUCUGAAAGUGAUGAAGUUAGAUUUCCAAAUUAAGAGUUUCCCUUAUGCUCAACAUAUUACAAAAAUAAGGGAUAAAAUAUCUGAAUAUGUUAUUAAACAUGUAAAUCAUUAACUGUAUUGAUAAGUUUAAAAAUUAAUAAAAUACUAUGAGUUUGGCUUGUAUUCCCCCUGAAAACAUUAAAAACACGAAAAGUAUAGGGGUAUGAACUCACCGUUUUAUGUGUGCUUCGAAUGUAGGAUCGUUAGGGAUGUUGAGUUUCAAUUGCAACCUCAAGCACAAACGGACCCUAUUUAACAUAUAACGAUGUAUGGACAUAAUUAGUGUAUAACACAACUAAUCAUGAUAAGAGACACCCUACGGGACUAGGAAACACAUGGUACAAGUGUUACAAUCACAUAUGAUUGUAUGAAGGGAGUGUAAGGCCACACAAAAGAGUGUGUGGUCGAAGUGUGUGGUCGGAGUGUGUGAUUGGAGUGUGCUGCCGCACACAGGUGUGUGCGGUCGUACACCCCACAUAAAGAUGUCCAAAAUGCCAAAUCUAGGGUGUGGCAACGCUAGUUUCAUGUCUAACUCGAAUAUGGAAGUCCAACUCUCACUUUGGAGGGUCUUUUAGGAGUGUGCGGCCCACCUUAUGAAGGUGUGCAGCCACAUUCCUUCAAAGAAUGAAGAACAUGAUGAUUCAAGGCUUAGAUCCACAGGUCCUUCAUCUAUGAUGAGCUAGGUGAUGGAAAACUCACGUUUUUGAGGCCUUGGGAGGGUUUGCGGUUGAAGAGUCUUGAGAGAAAAGGAGUAGUGUGCUGCCACGGAGUGAAAGGAAUGAAGGGAAGGGGUCUACCCUUUAUAUAGGGUGGGUGUGUGGUCCUGGGGGUGUGUUCGGCCGUACAUCGAUGUUUGCGGCCGCACACUCCUCCAAAAGGAGUGUAUGGUCCGGUUUUGCUACUAUACGCCUUGCCGACUCAUUCCUAACCUCAACCUUCACUGUACCCAUGCUUAGAAUACUUAAUGGACCCUUAAACGGUGCUAGAAGUUAACAGCGUUGGCUUAACAUUGAUUGAAUUGACUAGAUGUACAAUGAGAAAGUUUCGAGUUGUCACAUCAUCCCCCCGUUAGAGGGAAUUUUGUCCCGAAAUUCAAGAAUAAGGAUGUAACUCGCGGACUUGGACUUGAUGGGGGGUACCUCUGUUUCCUUGUAUUUUUUUGUGCUCCCUAAUGAAUUCAAGUUCCCGUUUGACAUUCCAGUGUACCAUCAAUAUAUGGAUGUGAAGUUACUUCGUUCAAUUGAAUUCCUGCACCAUGAAUUUGAAUGAUCCCUCCAUGAAGCGUAGAUUCUCAUCUAGCUCGAUAUUGUCGAGGGGAACCACAAGUGUCUUAUCGGACAGACCCUUAUUUAGGUUUGACACGUGGGAGGCGGGAUGAACGCUGCUGAUAUCUGGAGUUUGUACGCUACGGGACCGAUCCUAGCAAGGAUCUCAGACGAUCCAACGUAUCUUGAAUUUAGCUUACUAUGCUUUCUGAAGCAUAUCAGGCCUUUCUAGGGUGAUUUCAGGACUAGUGAGAGUACUGUCGUGGACUUGACUCUUGACUAGUUGCAUGUUGCCCACCUCAGCCCAACAUAUAGGGGAUCUAUACUUACGGCCAUAGAGGGCUUCGAACAACGCAACCUUGAUGCUGGAAAAGGUCAUCGUUGUUGCAAUAAAGUCCCACUAAGGGUAGAUGAGUGUACCACGUCGUAUCUACAAUUGUCCGGAUUGUUCUCUUACGCUGUCCAUUUAUUUGUGGGCGAUACUCUUUGCAUGAAUACUUUUGGGUUUCGAAGAGAGAGGAAUUUUCAAAGUUCACAUCUAAUUUAUCGUUACGAGUGACGGGAGUUUUUCGAUCGAACGAUUUAAGACACGAGAGUCUUCUCGGGGACAAGUAGGUUUGGUAUAACUUAACUUAGUCGAACUAAGUGGGAUGUCGUUGUAGAUUUACACGUUAAGUUAGUUUGGAAGAACCGUUUUGUCAGGACAUUGAUUCCCCUGGGUAAUUGUCUCUAGUGUUUUCUGUGUUUGAAGUUAACAGGUACUACUAACACGUGGGUCCUGAUGUUUUGAAACUAUAAGCUUUCAUGAGACGGUUCUUAAUAGGUCUCUCUGUGAUCGACUGGUGUACACAAGCCGUGUAUAAUUACAACUGACCCUAGCAUAUUCACUUAUGCUAUCAUGAUUUUGCUUAUUAGGGCCUUAAACCUUAUAAGGAUUAUGUGGGUCAAUCCGGAUGAAAUAGUAAUCACAGUUAUGAACAAUUAUUGAGGUUUUCAAAAACGUACCAAAACAAGGCAGGGUCCUUCGAUGCUUCCUCCUUCUCUGAGGUCAGACUCCUCCUGUUUCCUCAUUGUUCUUUUCUGUUGGGUAGUCUAUUUUGAAGUGUCCCAUUUCGCCACAUGUACCGCACACUUGAACUAUGCUAGCGUCGGUAGUGGAAGUGAUGUGCUGAGUCGGGGUCUUUGCGAAGCGAGCUUCCUGACCAUUCUUAGUUUCUGGACAAUUUCUUUUGAAAUGUCCGGGUUCACCACAAUUGUAGCAAACCUGACCCAUCUUUUCACCAGAAAUCGAGGCGUUUGACGGUGCUAGUGCUCUAUAGUAACGAGCGGUGUGUCCUGUCCUGUUGUAGUUCUUACAUUGCAAUUCAUAGCAUUUUCCUACAUGGUGGAAGUUGCAUUCCUCGCAAUUUGGAAGUUUUCCAGCAUAUCGUCGCACUGGUGUUGGCACUGGUUUGUCGGAUGUUGUGGCUGUGGAAGUUAUCACGGUUUGUUGUCUCUUGGCAAGUUUCUGAGACAACUUGCGCUCCCUCUUGUUCCAGAAUUUUCGCUUAGCACUCUUAGGUUUGGUAGUUGGAGUGUCCUCUUGGAUAAGCCCUUGUUGGUUUCCUGGUGUGUUGCUACAGUUCGUGAUGUGCAAACUGUUCCCAUUCCCACUUGGGUUGUUAGCAUUAAGAACAGCUAGGGCAGUAGCUUGGAACAUAGCUGAGUCCAUCUGGAGGACUGGUGUCUUACUGGUGGUUUGGUUACGUUCUUUCGGAGACAUAAUUCUGCUACAUGUCAAGAAAAGAAGCUUGUGAGCAAUAAUGGUUGCCUCUGGGUGUAUUCUAAAUGUUUAUCUAUGCAUUAAUACUUCCCAUUUUGCUAUCUAACUCUCGUUGAUUUAACCCACAUCCCCAUGAAGUGGUCCUAGCAAGAAUAGAAAACGAUUUGAACGCAAUAAAGCUCACAUCCAAUAAACUUACGAACUCCUUGUUGUUCAGCUCGUUGCGCUGGCUGGAUAACUCUCACACUUUCGUCGACUCUAGGCGGUAUGGAUAUUUAGCUACAAGGGUAGUUCCGAGGAUCAAGUCGAUACGGGAUUUAACUUGACACUCAGAAGAAAUCCCAGGAAUGUCUUUCGGGAAGACAUCAGGAAAUUUGUAGAAUUUGGGGAUGCUCUCGAGGUCUUUAACUUUUUAUGUCUCAUCAACCAUAUAAGCCAAGAAUGCAUGGCAUCCCUUUUCGCAAAUACUUAUGGGUUUUGGUGCAGGAAAUGAUACGAAGGUUCGAACAAAUUUUAUCACUAUAGCCAGUGAGAACUUCGUCAGAGGGAAAGAUUGAGACGAGUCACCCUUUCGAGUGCAAAGGACAUCAACACGAUUUGGGGCUCAACCAUCUCAUGUCGAUUAUGACAUCGAAACUUUUCAUGGAGACUGAUAUGAAAUUGAUGGGGAACAGGGAUGAUGGUCUAAGUACAUCCUAGGAUACAUGUUUUGAAGACUUUGAUAGGAGUUUCAUAAAUUUGCUUAAUUUGUGUGCUAUCGGUCUAAGAUAGACUUUUGACAAUGAUGAUCUUUAAAUGAUAUGUGCUUGUUGCCACUAUAACUGAAAUUGAGGUUACACAAUUUUCAGGACUCUUGACCUAGAAGUAGGUCUAAGUCAUAAUAACAAAGAGAAAAAAAAUCUUGGCAACAUGAAAGACAGAUAUGUUUACGGAAAGAAACUACUCAUCACAUAGAUAUGAAAAUUAUCCUUUAGCAAAAAGGAAGGAUGAGUAGAGUAUUCUCCUAUCGGCAACGAACACUCCUCGGACUGAUCCUUAAGUUGGCCAGCUGGUGCUCCAUGUCAAACAGGCGGCUCUCGUAUAUUGUCAGGCGCUCGAAGCUCCAUGACAUCAGCUCGAGUGGUAGCUAGCUCUUGUUGCAGAGCUUCAUUGUCCCUCAUAGUUCUCCCAUGACCAACUUUGAGAUUGCGAAUGCGGUUUGUGUUGGCAUCUAAGUCUGUCUCAAGCUCCAUAGUUCGCUGAAGGGUUGCCACACUUAGCUCCACAUUGCAAGCCACUCGACGGACUAUGAUCAAAAGGGCUCUAUCUGCGGAGCCUCCCUCGUUCACGUUGUAGAAGCGACGAUACCCUUCGCACCGGGGGGGGGGGGGGGGUNCGGGUAGGGGUUGCCUUGUUCGUGACUCCAUCUAUCCAAGCUUCCGACCCACAUAGGCGUUAGGCCUUCGAACUCAAGUCGGGGGUUAGGAUUUGGUAUCGGGGCUACUGGAGGUAGGUUCUCGACUUCAGGUUCUGGGUCGCCCUCUUCGGGGAAUUGUUCUGCGAAGUCAUCAUCCAAAGGAAUUUCAUGAUUUUCUUCUGGCUUUGCCUCGAUCCAUCCAACAUUUCCUUGGUUGGGAAAAUACGGGUCGCCAGGGAGAUGGAAUUAUGUCAUGCUAUCUACGCGAGAUAAGGGGUAAAAGGAUAGUUAUUAGGCAUCGAAUCUAAUAAUACUUCCAAUCUAUUAUAGUUACAUGAUUGAUUCUCGAGGGAUGGAUUCAUGGAUAAGUUUCCGGUUUGGUCGUUAUAGCAUCCUAAAAUAUUCCUAUAGUAUUUUAACCCUUAUGUUUGACUCUAGAACCUUUUUGGUACCUAGGUAAGUUUUAGACUUGCUGCGACACUACAGUCACUCCCAAGCACAUGUUGGUCAUGUCUCGAAUGAAUAUAGUUGAUUAGGCUAUAUUGACCCUAGACAUGAUUACAUAACAGCCCAGGUUUAACCGCGAUGUCCAACAUCCAAAUACUUUUGUUUUGUUCUACUUAUGAAACUGGUUCGGGUACUUAGGUAUACUUGUAUACUUUUUAUAAAAAUACUUAUAUUUUUGAAAGUAUACUUUUAGUUUAGAGCACUUAGGCCCCUUAAUGUUUAUAUUUGUAUACCAUGUAUGGUUCGGUAUACUUAGUUCACUAUAAACAAGAGCUCUGAUACCAAUCUGUCACACCCCAAAACCGGAACGACGGAAACGUUCUGGGAUGGAGGACGUCAUGUGUAGUAUCACAACAAUUGUAUCAUAGCAAGCAUAGUAAACACAACCAAACAUUGAAUACAUAUAUGAAUAAGGUUUACAUUGUCUUAGUACAUAGUUUUGUUCAUAUCCAAAGUAAAAUAGAAAGACGUGACUCUAACGCUCCGACUUCUCCAAUCUCCUGAAAGUACCUGUCUACUAAUCCCGUGAGAAUACAAGCAGUUUUGAAAGAAUAUCAGCAUAAAGCUGGUGAGUUCAUAAACAUUUAGUUUUGGUGGAAAAUGUUUCUUUGAUCCUUUUGAAAAGUGUUCCUCAAGAAAAUCCUAUAUUUUCUUAUGAAGAGCAUGUUUGAAAACCCAUUCCUUCCCGAUUCAUACAAGGUAUGUACAAUCCAAGGAGUCGUGGAAUGAAUAUGAAUAUCCGUUAGUUACAUGUAAAAACAAAUACGUUAAUGAAGAGCCGAGUUAUCCCGGGAAAAUCCUAUAUUUUCCCUAAAAACAGGUUAUCCGUCCUAGAGGUAGAGAUGCAAGUUUAGAAAUCCCUGAUUACUAUCAGUGUAUUUAUGAAAAUAGUUUUAUUACUCAAAAUAAAACAAUGAAGAGUAGAGUCCGUAAACCAAAAUUAGUUUAUACUUAUUUGUGAGUCGUAUAACCAUACUUGAUAUGACCGAGAGACCUUUAUAACUUUCCUCAGGCGUUAAGCUAAAUGAAAUUUGCUCACCCUAGGCAUGCCUGCCUAACUGUAGCUAGCAGUUCAGGUGUUGGAUUGUCAGUCCCGAAUAGAUCUAUUCACAAAUCUCACGCUCUCCCUCCAGGAGACUCUGGUUAUACUAAAAGGAUUUAUCCCUGUACACCUAAGAGUACAGUAUUGAAGUAGCGCCUCAUAAUUCGGUAUAAUCUAGUUCACUAGCGGGAAAACAAUAUAUAACAGUAAUUAUUCUUUAAUAAAUGCACUUUAUACUCCUGAGGAAACAUAUAACAUAAACUAAAUUUGUCAUAGUUUAUACAUAUUCAUCCAUGAAAUCUGAUUUGGUAGAAACUGGCUAGAGGGUUAUCCCAAACUAUACCCAUUAUAGUUUAUUAGAGUUGAUAUAAAAAAAUGCUUUGUAAAAACAUUUCUGAAAGUGAUGAAGUUAGAUUUCCAAAUUAAGAGUUUCCCUUAUGCUCAACAUAUUACAAAAAUAAGGGAUAAAAUAUCUGAAUAUG